rnacentral:rRNA from 1 species
CGUAGCAUGCCAGCCAGCCGGUAGGUAACUGGGACGGGGAGCAAGCGUUUGUUCGGAUUUACUGGGCGUAAAGGGGCGCGUAGGCGGCCUCCGCAAGUCAGUUGUGAAAUCUCCGAGCUUAACUCGGAAAGGUCAACUGAUACUGCGGGGCUAGAGUGCGGAAGGGGCAACUGGAAUUCUUGGUGUAGCGGUGAAAUGCGUAGAUAUCAAGAGGAACACCUGCGGCGAAGGCGGGUUGCUGGGCCGACACUGACGCUGAGGCGCGAAAGCUAGGGGAGCGAACAGG